rnacentral:rRNA from 1 species
GUGAGGAAUAUUGGUCAAUGGGCGAGAGCCUGAACCAGCCAAGUCGCGUGAAGGAAGAAGGAUCUAUGGUUCGUAAACUUCUUUUGCAGGGGAAUAAAGUGCGGGACGUGUCCUGUUUUGUAUGUACCCUGAGAAUAAGGAUCGGCUAACUCCGUGCCAGCAGCCGCGGUAAUACGGAGGAUCCGAGCGUUAUCCGGAUUUAUUGGGUUUAAAGGGUGCGUAGGUGGUUUGAUAAGUCAGCGGUGAAAGUUUGCAGCUUAACUGUAAAAAUGCCGUUGAAACUGUCGGACUUGAGUGUAAAUGAGGUAGGCGGAAUGCGUGGUGUAGCGGUGAAAUGCAUAGAUAUCAUGCAGAACUCCGAUUGCGAAGGCAGCUUACUAAGCUACAACUGACACUGAAGCACGAAAGCGUGGGGAUCAAACAGGAUUAGAAACCCCAGUAGUCC